CCAGUCCGUAGAUUUCCUCAUAAUGGCCUGGGGCUUUCUCCUCUUCACAAUCCUGGCGUCCAUCAUUGGUCCCAGUGUCGAGCAGUUACAGACUUUGAAGGACCCAGAAUUUGUGGCUCCAGGUGGGACGGUCACCAUGUCUUGCAGGUUUGACAGUGGAAACAUCGGUGAUGGCAACUACCCUUUGUGGGUACAGAAGAAGCCUGAGAGUAAACCCUGGACACUUAUCCAUGACACCAGCGUCAGACCGUCUGACGUUCCAGCACGUUUCUCUGGUUCUAGAAUUGGGAAUGUGAUGUCCCUGACCAUCACAGGGGCCCUUCUGGAAGAUGAAGCUGUUUAUUACUGUGCUGUGUGGGCUGGGAGUCAGUGA